CUUUAAAUACAAUAGAGUCCGUGUAAUACAAACUGUCCUUUUGUCUUUUAUUCCUGAACACGAAUAUGUCUCUUUAUGCCAAAGUCUAUAUGCAAUGAUAAGUAAUAAAAGGAAAGCUCUGACCUUAUUCUGAAGAGCAGGAACAAAUGUCAGUCUUAAAGGAGACAUGUAUUUUC